rnacentral:rRNA from 1 species
UUUGCCUGACGUUAACUUUAGACCAAGCACCGGCUAACUCUGGGCCAGCAAGCGCGGUAAUACAAAGGGGGCAAAAGUUAUUCCGAAUUACUGGGCGUAAAGCGCGCGUAAGCGGGCUAUUAAAACCGCUGUCAAAGCCCUGGGCUCUACCUGGGAACUGCAUCUGAUGCUGGUAGGCUAUACUUUAAGAGAGGGAAGUGGAAUUCCAGGUGUAGCAGUGAAAUGCGUACAUAUCUGGAGGAACAUCAGUGGCCAAAGCCACUUCCUGGAUUAAAACUGACGCUGAGGUGCUAAAACGUGCGUAGCGAACUGGAUUAAAUACCCCAGCACUCCAUGCCGUAAACAAUGUCCCCUAGUUGUUGGUCUUAUUAAAAAGAUUAGUAACGAAGCUAACGCGCUAACUUGACCGCCUGGGGAGUACGGUCUCAAGAUUAAAACGCAAAGGAAUUGACGG